rnacentral:rRNA from 1 species
AGCAGCCGCGGUAAUUCCAGCUCCAAUAGCGUAUAUUAAAGUUGUUGCAGUUAAAAAGCUCGUAGUUGAAUUUCGGGAUCAAUAUGUUGGUCGUGCCUCGGUACGUACUAGCUUAUUGGUUUCUCCCUUCUGACGAACCAUGAUGUCAUUUAUUUGGUGUUAUGGGGAAUCAGGACUGUUACUUUGAAAAAAUUAGAGUGUUUAAAGCAGGCUUACGCUUGAAUACAUUAGCAUGGAAUAAUGAAAUAGGACGUUUGAUUCUAUUUUGUUGGUUUCUAGGAUCGACGUAAUGAUUAAUAGGGAUAGUUGGGGGCAUUAGUAUUCAAUUGUCAGAGGUGAAAUUCUUGGAUUUAUUGAAGACUAACUACUGCGAAAGCAUUUGCCAAGGAUGUUUUCAUUAAUCAAGAACGAAAGUUAAGGGGAUCGAAGACGAUCAGAUACCGUCGUAGUCUUAACCAUAAACUAUAGCCGACUAGGGAUCGGAUGAUGUUAAUUUUUAAUGACUCAUUCGGCGCCUUAC